UAAAUUAAAACCAGUUGA
rnacentral:snRNA from 1 species